rnacentral:rRNA from 1 species
AACGAACGCUGGCGGCAUGCCUAACACUUGCAAGUCGAACGAGACCUUCGGGUCUAGUGGCGCACGGGUGCGUAACGCGUGGGAACCUGCCCUUAGGUUCGGAAUAACUCCCCGAAAGGGGUGCUAAUACCGGAUAAUGUCUUCGGACCAAAGAUUUAUCGCCUUUGGAUGGGCCCGCGUUGGAUUAGCUAGUUGGUAGGGUAAAAGCCUACCAAGGCGACGAUCCAUAGCUGGUCUGAGAGGAUGAUCAGCCACACUGGGACUGAGACACGGCCCAGACUCCUACGGGAGGCAGCAGUGGGGAAUAUUGGACAAUGGGCGAAAGCCUGAUCCAGCAAUGCCGCGUGAGUGAUGAAGGCCUUAGGGUUGUAAAGCUCUUUUACCCGGGAUGAUAAUGACAGUACCGGGAGAAUAAGCUCCGGCUAACUCCGU